UGUGUGUGUGUGUGUGUGUGUGUGUGUGUGUGUGUGUGUGUGUGUGUGUGUGUGUGUAUCUGUGUGUUGAGUGGGAGGGGACUUCUACAACGUCCUUCAUACUGGACAUGGGGCACUGGUGAGGGGUGUCUUAGUGAUGUCCUUCUCUGUGAAGAUGAUGUUUGGGUGACAAAUGGCCACCUUUCAAAGCCAGCACUACCACCCCAUUGUUAUUGGCCUGAGAGUGCUGAAGGAAGCAAUGGGCAAUAGCAUCUGAAACAAAUCAUGGACACAAAAGUACAACAUACACAGGGACAUCCUGGUGUACAGAAGGCUGAUUUUCUAAGCAUGGGGAUAUAUGAAGUAAAAUGCCCAAAGGCAUUGUUGCGUAGCUUGUUCCUGCCAUGGCGGCUGUGCUGUCAGAGUGAGAUGGCAGGGGUGUUCUGUGUGACCAGCUCCUGUCCUGUCUAGUGGGUCACUGAGAAGGGAUGGCAACACAAGUGAGCUCAUUAUUUUCAUCCCUUACAGAGCCCCUCUAUAAGAAACAGGCAAUAGCAGUGGACUGCCUGUAAAUAUGUUACACAACAUUACAGAAGAUGAGGGAAAACCCAGAGAGGGAAAAUGCAUAACAAAUGAAAAUCUAAUCAAAUUUGAUUGGUCACAUACACGUGUUUAGCAGAUGUUAUUGCGGGUGUAGCGAAAUGCUUGUGCUUCUAGUUCCGACAGUGCAGCAAUAUCAAACAAGUAAUAUCUAACAAUUUCACAACAUAUACCCAAUACAGACACAUCUAAAGUCAAGGAAUGGAAUUAAGAAUAUAUAAAUAUAUGGAUGAGCAAUGUCAGAGCGGCAUAGACUAAGAUAUAGUAAAAUAGUAUGGAAUGCAGUAUAUACAUAUGAGAUGAGUAACGCAAGAUAUGCAAACAUUAUUAAAGUGACAUUCUAAGAAUGUUACAUGUUCCCAAAAUGUACAGAAUGUGAGAAGGAUGUUUUUGGCAUGUUAUUGAGGAUAAGAGUAUGUCUGAGAUGGUCUAGAAUGUUCUAAGAGGGUCAGAGUGUGUAGGCAGUCAUUGAGAUACAGUCAUGUUCUGAAAUAUCAAGCCUGCUUUUUGGUGAUGUAGACUAUCUGAGAACGUUUUUGGGUUAGACUUAAUAUUAGGGAAUGAGGGUUCCUUGCUGAGUUCUAACGUAUGAGGAGGAAGCUUCAAUAGUUCUGAGAUAGAAUGUGAGGCAGAGAAAGUUUACUAUGAGAAAGAGGAAGUCAAUGAGAGUCAAAUAAAGUUCAAUAGUUCUGAGAUAGAAUGUGAGGCAGAGAAAGUUUACUAUGAGAAAGAGGAAGUCAAUGAGAGUCAAAUAAAGUUCAAUAGUUCUGAGAUAGAAUGUGAGGCAGAGAAAGUUUACUAUGAGAAAGAGGAAGUCAAUGAGAGUCAAAUAAAGUUCAAUAGUUCUGAGAUAGAAUGUGAGUCAGAGAAAGUUCACUAGUUCUGAGAAACAAUGAUAUGCAGAGAAAGUUUACUAUGAGAAAGAGGAAGUCAAUGAGAGUCAAAGAAAGUUUAAUGGUUUUGAAAUAGAAUGUGAGGCAGAAAGAGUUCACGUUUUGUGAUAGAAUGGGAGGGAGAAAAAGAGGAAGUCACUUCGAGUCAAAGGAAGUUCAAUAGUUCUGAGAAAGAAUGUAAGACAGCGAAAGUUUUAAGAAAUAAUGUGAGGCAGAGAACAUUCUGAGAUAGAAUGUGGGACAGAGAAAGUGCACUAGUUCUGAGAAAGAAAGUAAGACAAAGAAAGUUCAAUUGUUCUGAGAUAAAAUGUGAGGCAGAAAAAGUUUACUAUGAGAAAGAGUAAGUCAAUGAGAGUCAAAGGAAAUUCAAUAGUUUUGAAAUAGAAUGUGAGGCAGAAAAAGUUCACACAUUUUGUGAUAGAAUGUGAAGCAGAGAAAGAGGAAGUCACUUAGAGUCAUAGGAAGUUCAAUAGUUCUGAGGUAGAAUGUGAAGCAGAGAAAGAGGAAGUCAC
ensembl:lncRNA